rnacentral:lncRNA from 1 species
GUGACCUUAGUAGUGAACGUAAUAUUCAGAUUGGAUUCCGAAAGAUAUCCGGAUACAGAUAAAGAUAAAAGAUUGGACUCAUAUUUUGACAGUUAAGUUGACAGUAAUAUUUGUGUAAUACUUCUUGUAAACUUUUGUAUAAUAAAUAUUGUUAAAUUUUAUUAUUGAUUUGUGUCUUUUGUUGGCUACAAUUUAAAGGCGAUUUCUGGCCGUAACAGAAAUUGGGGGCUCGUCCGGGAUACUGAAAAUAUCUUAUUCAAAAUUUGUUUAGUAAUUUUUAUUAUAACUAGCCAACAAAAUUCUACAAAAUGGCAUUUGAUGCCGGUAAAUUUUUGAAAACGCCAGACCUGGAGGGGUUUGAUAAUUUAAAGAAAGAGGAAUUAGUGUUGCUUGCUAAACAUCUGAAAUUAGAUUUUAAAGUAUCUAUGAGAAAACAAAUUUAAAAAAAUUUGGUUAUAGACAAAUUAGUUGACGCAGAAAUUUUAGGUGAAGAGGCUCUUGAACUUAAGGUCGAAAAUAUUGACGCCUUUAAAUUAAAACAGC